AACAAGUUUGGAACAAGCUGUUAACAACUUGUAACGAGCUUGACGGCAUUAUCAGACUUGUUACAAGGUUGCUCUGACAAGUCUGAUACAGUCAUGAUAUAACAAGAUUGUUACAUAAUUAUAACAAGAUUGGUUGACGACACAAGGCUGCAACAAUAUUGUUAUAUCAUGACUGUAUCGGAGUUGUUGGAACAACUUUGCAACAAGUCUGAUAAUAUCAACAAGGUUGUUACAAGUUGUUAACAGCUUGUUCCAAACUUGUU